rnacentral:rRNA from 1 species
GAUGAACGCUGGCGGCGUGCCUAAUACAUGCAAGUCGAGCGAACAGACGAGGAGCUUGCUCCUCUGACGUUAGCGGCGGACGGGUGAGUAACACGUGGAUAACCUACCUAUAAGACUGGGAUAACUUCGGGAAACCGGAGCUAAUACCGGAUAAUAUCUUGAACCGCAUGGUUCAAUAGUGAAAGACGGUUUUGCUGUCACUUAUAGAUGGAUCCGCGCCGCAUUAGCUAGUUGGUAAGGUAACGGCUUACCAAGGCAACGAUGCGUAGCCGACCUGAGAGGGUGAUAGGCCACACUGGAACUGAGACACGGUCCAGACUCCUACGGGAGGCAGCAGUAGGGAAUCUUCCGCAAUGGGCGAAAGCCUGACGGAGCAACGCCGCGUGAGUGAUGAAGGUCUUCGGAUCGUAAAACUCUGUUAUUAGGGAAGAACAAAUGUGGAAGUAACUAUGCACGUCUUGACGGUACCUAAUCAGAAAGCCACGGCUAACUACGUG